AGCGAACGCUGGCGGCAGGCUUAACACAUGCAAGUCGAGCGGGCAUCCUUGUGGUGUCAGCGGCAGACGGGUGAGUAACGCGUGGGAACGUGCCCUUCGGUUCGGAAUAACUCAGGGAAACUUGAGCUAAUACCGGAUACGUGCGAGAGCAGAAAGGUUUAUCUGCCGAAGGAUCGGCCCGCGUCUGAUUAGCUAGUUGGUGAGGUUACGGCUCACCAAGGCGACGAUCAGUAGCUGGUCUGAGAGGAUGAUCAGCCACACUGGGACUGAGACACGGCCCAGACUCCUACGGGAGGCAGCAGUGGGGAAUAUUGGACAAUGGGGGCAACCCUGAUCCAGCCAUGCCGCGUGAGUGAUGACGGCCUUAGGGUUGUAAAGCUCUUUUCUCCGGGACGAUAAUGACGGUACCGGAGGAAUAAGCCCCGGCUAACCUCGUG
rnacentral:rRNA from 1 species